rnacentral:rRNA from 1 species
AUGACCGCAAGGAUCGUCCAGGAGGAAGAGAGGAUCAUGAGGCAGAAGAAAGACAAUGUUUUUCAUGUUGGCUCUAACAAGAGAAAGCAUGACGGGCAAGGUUUUCCCAAGCCUCAGAAAAAGCAAGUCAAGAAAGAAGGCACUAAGCCAUUCAACCCUAAGGCAUUCAAGGGUAAAAGAAGCCGGCAGUUCUUCUUUUGCUCCUAG